rnacentral:lncRNA from 1 species
AUGAAAAAAAUCACCCAGCAAUGAACUUCUCAGAACAUAUCCCCAUUGUUAGGAGGCGCACGACUGUAUUUAGUCCAACAACUUGCUGAAAUGUGAUUCUACCAUUUUUCCAGUCAACUCCUAAGUUUUAAAUACCAUACAUCUGCCACCUUACCAGGCAGUUUCAACCAUAACAACAGAAGAAUACUCUUGGCAAAUAGAUCCCACUCUCUGAGGGUUGUGUUGGGGCUCAGAAAAUACUACCCCGAAGUAUGACACUUUGGCAUGCUGAAUACUUUGAACUAAAAGAGAUUGGAAGGCCUCAGAAGCAGCCUCGGAAGCAGUCUCUCCCUCUGAUCUCCUGCCCUUCUGUCUCCUGCCCAUCUUUCGUCCCAGAAGUGAGUCACAGAAACCAGAAUUCUUCCCCAAGACAGGCUGAGCUGCUUUGUGAGGGAGUAACAUCUCCAUGACAGCAAGGUGCAAGCGGAGAUAAGACAACCACCUGGGUCAGGAACUUGUAGAGAGGAUUCCUACAUGGAGUGGGAGACUGAAAUAAUAACCUCAAAGAUGCCUUCCAAUCAGAAGAUUUGGUGAUUCUUUCUGAGUUAUCAAACUGCCUUCCUUUGACCUUGCUCACAUGUAGAAAUCCAAGUCAGCGCAGCUUAACUUGGACUCACCACCUAUCAAGUGCUCGACAGCCACGUGUGCAGUGGUUCCUACGUGGAGCAGCAUACAUCCAGAGAUGCAAAUAUUAAUGAGGACAGUGCUAGUAACAGAGUUGCUGAGCAAUCUAUGUCCCCUUGUAAGAACCAGUGCCCCAGGGGAAGAAACAGAACUCCACAAGGUAGCAGUGUGGGUGUAGUACCCGCAUGUGCCCAUGUUAUGGGAAUGUAGAUGGGGAGUGACCACCGCCAACAGAAGUGUGGCCAUCUUGCCCGAGAUGCCUGAGGACCUCCUAUUUUUAGAUGCUGCUGCCCAAGGCCUGUAUUUCAUGCUAUGGCUUUUGUCAUUUGAAUUAUCAGUAGCUGUCUCGGAGCUAUUACGCUUCACUGGGCCCUGGAGGAUAUUGUCUUAUACAGUCCACUGGGUUUUGGAUAUGCAGUCUGUGCCUUUCAUUGCCUUCCUGGAAAAUAAUAACUAAACUCUUCCUCACCAGG